UCUGCCGAUGAAGGGCUAAGCUAGUUUGACCACGGGUGGACCUGAGCCAAGUCCAGACCCUUGACAUACAGCCAGCCUCCUCUGAGUAUGUGGUUCAUACACUGAACUCCAAAGCAGCAUAUGUCUGAGAAGAGUAAAAGGUGCACCUCUCCGUGGGUAGACAUGGAAGCCUCAUACACAAGGUAGCUUUAUCUGUGGAUGUCCAAAAUUUGUACAGCCUGAUGCUAUCCCUGCUAAGGUGAAUGGGCAGAGAAAUCGUGGUGUGUCCACGCAACAGGACACUGCAGGAAGCAGUCACAUGAAAGACGGAUCCCAGAACAUGUCAGAGAGUUGGCUGGCCAGAGGGUUCACGCCCAGCAACUGAGGCACAUAAUAUCCAGAGAUCACCGAGUUCUACUGCACAAGAGCAGAGGGGCAGUUAUUUACCUGAGGUGGGGCAGGAGGGUGAGAGGGGAGAGAGGGGGGGAGAAAGGGGCAGGAAGAGACUUUUAAAAGGAAUAUUUCUGUUUGUUUUUAAAAUCUUGGCUUUUUUCUUAUUCAUGUGCCUGUAUAUGUCUGGGGGUAUUUGCACCGGUGCACACGUGUGUGGGUGU
rnacentral:lncRNA from 1 species